GGAUAGCUCAGCUGGUUAGAGCAUGGUACUGAUUAUGCUAAGGUUGCAGGUUUGAACCCUUUAUGUGGCAGCU